rnacentral:rRNA from 1 species
UACAGAGGGUGCAAGCGUUAAUCGGAAUUACUGGGCGUAAAGCGUGCGUAGACGGUUAUGUAAGUCAGAUGUGAAAGCCCCGGGCUUAACCUGGGAAUGGCAUUUGAGACUGCAUAGCUAGGGUGCGGAAGAGGGAAGCGGAAUUUCCGGUGUAGCGGUGAAAUGCGUAGAUAUCGGAAGGAACACCAGUGGCGAAAGCGGCUUCCUGGUCCAGCACCGACGUCAGGCACGAAAGCGUGGGGAGCAAACAGG